AGAAAUUUCAUUUGCCUUCGACUCGAGCUACAAGCUAGUCGCAUUUCUCGAACAAGUUACAGAAAUGUAUCAAAAUUUUUUCAGUUAAAAAACUACAUUGCCGACGAAAUGUCGGCACAAGGCUUGGUUCCUCGCCCGAAUCCGAGGAAUCCAAACCAGGAAACAACGUUGAUAAUGAUCGACAAAAUUACUCACUACUCAUGAACACGAUGCUCCAUAACUGCCGGACGAGCACCAAUCGGCGACCCAGUUCCGGAGGAUCAUCAAGCUGCAAAACCCAUGACACUAGACUGUAAAAGUACACAUUGUUACAGCAGCAGUGCACAAGGCUUGAUUCCUCGCCCGAAUCCGAGGAAUCUAAGCCAGGAAACGACGUUUGAUCAUGAUUCGCCACGUGUGGGACUAGAUUUUUCACUACCUAUGAACACGAUGCUUUCUUUAUACGACACUGGAUGGUAACACGAUGGUAACACGAAUUGAUACUGCGUUGAUUUGGAUCGUUGAACACAGUUACAUACGUUACAUUUUGCACGUUUUCUAUUGCGAUUUACAAUUAGUUUUGCCAGUUCACACAAUCUCCUUUGAUUAUUGUAAGCCAAUUAAUACUACUUACAGUGACAAUACUAAAAUACAGCUGUGUAUGAAAGUGGACAAUACACAAAACCAUACACUACAACUAAAACAAAAACAAAUCAGAAUUUGAAAGUGGACUAGAAGUAACACUUAUUACACAGACACCGAAUGUUAUAACAAAUACACUGAAAACACACAAAUAAAAUAUUGUAUACGUCAUCCCAAAGAAUAAAAACAUCGAUUAAUUGAGCU
ensembl:ncRNA lncRNA:CR32690 long non-coding RNA:CR32690